UGGGGAAUUUUGGACAAUGGGCGAAAGCCUGAUCCAGCCAUGCCGCGUGAGUGAAGAAGGCCUUCGGGUUGUAAAGCUCUUUUAGUCGGAAAGAAAGAGUUGCAAUGAAUAAUUGUGAUUUAUGACGGUACCGACAGAAAAAGCACCGGCUAACUACGUGCCAGCAGCCGCGGUAAUACGUAGGGUGCGAGCGUUAAUCGGAAUUACUGGGCGUAAAGGGUGCGCAGGCGGUCUUGCAAGUCAGAUGUGAAAGCCCCGGGCUUAACCUGGGAAUUGCGUUUGAAACUACAAGACUAGAGUGCAGCAGAGGGGAGUGGAAUUCCAUGUGUAGCAGUGAAAUGCGUAGAGAUGGGGAAGAACACCGAUGGCGAAGGCAGCUCCCUGGGUUGACACUGACGCUCAUGCACGAAAGCGUGGGGAUCAAACA
rnacentral:rRNA from 1 species